AGUGAACGCUGGCGGUAGGCCUAACACAUGCAAGUCGAACGGCAGCACAGUAAGAGCUUGCUCUUACGGGUGGCGAGUGGCGGACGGGUGAGGAAUACAUCGGAAUCUACUUUUUCGUGGGGGAUAACGUAGGGAAACUUACGCUAAUACCGCAUACGACCUACGGGUGAAAGCAGGGGAUCUUCGGACCUUGCGCGAUUGAAUGAGCCGAUGUCGGAUUAGCUAGUUGGCGGGGUAAAGGCCCACCAAGGCGACGAUCCGUAGCUGGUCUGAGAGGAUGAUCAGCCACACUGGAACUGAGACACGGUCCAGACUCCUAAGGGAGGCAGCAGUGGGGAAUAUUGGACAAUGGGCGCAAGCCUGAUCCAGCCAUACCGCGUGGGUGAAGAAGGCCUGCGGGUUGUAAAGCCCUUUUGUUGGGAAAGAAAAGCAGCAGGUUAAUACCCCGCUGUUCUGACGGUACCCAAAGAAUAAGCACCGGCUAACUUCGU
rnacentral:rRNA from 1 species